GGCCUUUCAGUUCAGCCCAAUGAAACAAAGGUAGCAACCUCCCCUUUUAUUGGCUGCUGCUGUUGCUGCCUCAAUCCCUGAAGCAGGAGGCUCCUGUGGCCAGUCCAGGCCUAGGCCUGCUGGCCACAUGGCCCCAGCCGAAGUCUUUUAUUCAGAAGCCGGUGAAAAUGUUUUCGUUAGAUUUCACUUUCUUACAGCUUCACCAUCAUCUGAAUAAAAGACUUCGGCUUCUCUGUCAAUGGGUCAGCCUUUUCUGGACCUCUGGAGAUCUUCAAAAAAGUAAGAUCUUCAAAAGCUGUUGCAUUGCUUGAAAGUGAAGUUCUGUAAAGGAAUGGGCUGAAGUUGCCUCAAGGAAUGGGCUGAAAAUUAAAUCCAGUGGGAGGAACAUUUGGAAUUAAUCUUUGCAGAUCAAGAAAUGAAGAAGUGAUCUGAAAAACAAUGGUUCAUUCCGUUUCAGAUCUGCACAGCACAGGAAGAUCAAGUUACUGUAUCUGCAGGGCCUGGCAAGCCGUCUGCAGAAAACAGAACUGCAAGCAUCUGCCUCAUGGAGGAAAUUAUCCCCAUUCCACGCCAACUGUUUAAUAAAACACAACAAGGGACAUUUGCUUUUUUGGCUGCAUGUGAACAAUUCUAUUAAUAUAUGUAUGAUAUAAAAAUUAUACUGGGAGCACAUCACAAGCUACAAAGUAACCUCUACAGACAGUUUUGCAGCAAGAUGUUAACAAACUUCAACAUUUAACAGAAAAUUAAUCCAAACGAAGCACAGAGGAGGAGGAAAGAUAACAAAUUGCAAUAAAAUUAUUAAUGAAGAAGAGGCUCAAAUCAUUCAUUAAAGCCAAAGAUUCAGAUUUUUUUUUUAAUGUACAAUAAGGAUUAUGUACCAAUAAGCAGAUAUAUUAUAUUGCUCUUUGAAAAGACCUGUGGUUUAUUUAAAAAGAGAGGUCUAUGAUAAAUGCAAUAAAUAAAAUAGAUGUAUUCAUUGCUUUAUAAAUAAAUAAAUAAAGUCGUAA